UACUACCAAUUACACGUACAUUUUCACGAAAAGAGCAUCGCUACACUAUUGCUGCCGCCCCCUCCAUGGGUGCAUCUAUACCGCCACAAGCGACAAAUUCCUCGUUGUCACCUGAAAGAUUGUGGGAAAGCAGCCCACUAAUAAGUAUUGCAUUUUGCUGAACCCAAUCAUCCUGCAUAUUUGCAUAUUCCUGUACCCCAUUAUUCCGUAGAUUUACAUUUUUCUGAACCUCGUCC
rnacentral:lncRNA from 1 species